CGCGGAUGGAGAGGGACUUUGAGCCCC
rnacentral:sRNA from 1 species